GUGGGGGAUAUUGCACAAUGGGGGAAACCCUGAUGCAGCGAUGCCGCGUGGAGGAAGAAGGUUUUCGGAUUGUAAACUCCUGUCGUAAGGGACGAAGAAGUGACGGUACCUUACAAGAAAGCUCCGGCUAACUACGUGCCAGCAGCCGCGGUAAUACGUAGGGAGCGAGCGUUGUCCGGAAUUACUGGGUGUAAAGGGAGCGUAGGCGGGAUGGUAAGUCAGAUGUGAAAACUAUGGGCUCAACCCAUAGACUGCAUUUGAAACUGCUGUUCUUGAGUGAAGUAGAGGUAAGCGGAAUUCCUAGUGUAGCGGUGAAAUGCGUAGAUAUUAGGAGGAACAGCGGUGGCGAAGGCGGCUUACUGGGCUUUUACUGACGCUGAGGCUCGAAAGCGUGGGGAGCAAACAGGA
rnacentral:rRNA from 1 species